UAGGGAAUCUUCGGCAAUGGGGGCAACCCUGACCGAGCAACGCCGCGUGAGUGAAGAAGGUUUUCGGAUCGUAAAGCUCUGUUGUAAGUCAAGAACGGGUGUGAGAGUGGAAAGUUCACACUGUGACGGUAGCUUACCAGAAAGGGACGGCUAACUACGUGCCAGCAGCCGCGGUAAUACGUAGGUCCCGAGCGUUGUCCGGAUUUAUUGGGCGUAAAGCGANCGCGGCGGUUUGAUAAGUCUGAAGUUAAA
rnacentral:rRNA from 1 species